rnacentral:misc_RNA from 1 species
UUUAGAGAAUGACACUCUUAAAUUUCUUUAUUUUACCUGAAAUAUAAGUACUAAAUUAGGAAUAUCUUCCUAUGAUCAGUUAAACAAUGUAGGCGGCACCGCAAUAUUUAGAGAAUGACACUCUUAAAUUUCUUUAUUUUACCUGAAAUAUAAGUACUAAAUUAGGAAUAUCUUCCUAUGAUCAGUUAAACAAUGUAGGCGGCACCGCAAUAUUAGGGAACUUCCUUGCUGGCAGGGCCAUAGAUUACGGGUCAAAUGCUCACCAUCCUUAGGGUUCCUGCUAUGUGGGCUAGGUUUGGUGUAUUUCCAUCGGUUCUGGGUGGUGAGAUUGUUAGGAGUUGGAUUCAGCUCUUGUAAUCCGGCCUAUGGGCCUCCUUUCAUAUAAUAAAGCCUUUGGGCUUGUACUCAUAUGGUCCUUGAUGAAUUUUAAUUUUGGCAAAAAAGAAAAACUUUUAUUUAAUAUUAAAAACCAAGCUCUUGAACACAAGGCCUUAAUUACUUGUGAUCUUUUACAAUAUCAAACAAUCCAUCAGCCGCAGGCUUCCACUGCAUCGCCAGAGGCGUCUUCUUUAGGAAUUGUUUCUCGCGUGCUGUACGAGACUUUUUAUGUUCCUCUAUCAGUUGUAACUUGGCUGUGGCCGCUUCCAUUUUUGUUCUUAGUUUCUCAACCUCUUCCCUAGUCCGUUCAAUUUCUUGCUGGUGUUCAACUUCGGAGCUGUCUAGCAACUUCCUAGCUCGAAACACAUAGUGGACACGCGCAACACGCUUAAUAUGUCUGAACAAGAACUGAAUUUUGAACCCAGCACACUCAGCCCAUUUUAAGCAAGCAACCCAUUCUCCAAGUUUAUGUUCUGUGACAUCCACAACCUUAGUUGUGCUCAUAUUCUGUAUAACACCACAUAAGAUGUAAAGAAUUAAUGACCCUACUUUGGGACUUAGGCUGGGAAUAUCAUCGUCCCUGAAUCUGCCAAGCAAUUGCAUAUAAAUUGAAUUCAGAGUAGGAGAGAGCAGCACAUCCCCAAUUUUGACAAAUUCGUUUUGCUCCAAUAAAAAGCUUGGAAAUUCAUUGCCCAAAACUACAGAAGGACCAUUUAGUAUCAUAGCAGAAUUAAGCAAACUGCGUUCGGUUUUUAGAGACGACGAACCUUGUUUGUAUUGCUUCCAAAGGCAAAUGUUAUGUGCGUCAAUACAGUCCAUGAACCGUCUGAAGGCCUCCCUCGUAAAUAAUGCAGGAUGAGUACCAUCUUCCUCCUUGCCUUUAACAGAUUCUUUACCUCUUUUCAUUUUCUUUUGCAUUCUUUCAAUGAUGUCAUUGAUUUCGUUUUUCUCGGAUGCAUUUAGAGAAUGAAAUAUAUCAUCAAAGGACAAACCUUCCCUUGUCUCAUUGUCUGCUUCAUUUUGCUUCAUCUCUGUCACCAUUAGUUCUUUGCUUAUCACCUUACUGGUGAUCUGUCUAACUGCUGUUCUCAAUUUCACAUCUCCACGCUCUCCCCUGAGUGCUGGUAUGACCUAGCAAGAACCAUUAAAAGAUUACAGCUUCAGCUCGAAGUAAAUGUUAAGAACAUGAAAAAAAAUAUAUCAAUAUAAGCAAUUACCUCUGAAAGUACACAUUUUACUUCAACUAUCAUUGGGCAACCUGUCUCACAGUAAUAAACACAGAGUUUUGGAUCCCUUCGUUCCUCGCAAGCAUCACAGUAAAAUUCAUCAUCAUCAUCUUCAUCCUCGACGUAAAAAUCUUUGAGGGUGAGGGGAUCUAUAUGACAUUUGUGCUUGAUGGUGACUGGCAAUGGACCACAUACAAGGUGAAGAUUGUAAUCGCACUCUAGACAACGGAAUGCAGGGGAGCUAAUACAGCUUCUAUUACAAGCACAACAUUCGAGUUCACCGUAUAUAUUAUCCACAACAGUUAGAAGGUGACUGUGUUUCAUAAACUCUACAGUUGGCUUCAAGAAAGCACAAUCAACAUCCAGAUUGAAAUUGCACUCCCCACAACGAAAAACAAAUCCACCGCAUUCUUUGAGACAAAAAUUGCACUUUACUUUUUUAAGAUUUUGAGAACCCACAUUCAAAAGAAUAAGUGGGUGAGCUGGGUGAUAGGAAUUCAUGAUCUCCAGUGGAAGCUCGGCGCAGGAUUUAUGCAAAUAGAAGUUGCAAUUGCUGCAACCAUAGGCAAGAAUUGAACAGUUCUUUUCACAACCUUUACAGCAAACUUCGUGAUGAACAUUGUUCUCUGGAUAGAGUGUCAAAGGAUGAACAUGGCUAAUAUGUUUAAUUUUCUCCUGGCCCUCAUAUUUUAUCAUGGGUUGCAAUGCGCAUCUAGUAUCCAAUCGGAAAUGACAGUUGCCGCAGCAGAAGGUCAAGCCUGGUACGCAAUUUUCGUCGCAAGCAGCGCACUGAUAGGAAUGUGGAGUAUUGAGUAGGAUGAGAGGACACGGAUGAAAGAAGCGUUGAAUCUUUUGAGGUAAAGUGUCCAUACAAGACUUAUGAAUAUAGAAUUUGCAUCUGCUGCAACAAUAGGUAGGAUCCGAUGAUGGAUUACCACAUACAACACAAAGAACUUCAUAAUCUUCCAUCUUUUCAAAGGGAUCCAAAGGAUGCCAAUGACUGAAAUGUUGGAUCUUCUUCUCUUCACCUUCGGAUUUUAUGGCAAAAGUCCUUGCGCACAUUAAAUCCAGAUAAAAAUCACAGUGUUGACACCAGUAAGUGAAAUCUGAGCGAUGUCCUAAACAACCAUUACAGGUAAAGGAGGAUGAAAUUUUGAGAAUGAGAGGACAUGGAUGGAAGAAAUGUUGGAUCUCUGCUGGAUGCUUGGAGGACCCAUUGGAUUUUAUAACAGACAUUAGACAACAUUGAACACAUAAUUCAAAACGACACUUGAGACAGCGGAAGAUCAAGCCAGAGCCUGUUUUCAGACAAACAACGCACCGAUAAUCCGGUAAUGUGAGAAAAGUAAGAGGGCAAGAAUGAAACCAGUGCUUAAUCUUUCGAGGUAAAAUCUUCAUGCAGUAUUUGUGGAGAUAAAAAUUGCAUUGGCCGCAACCACAAGCAGGACCAGAGCAGAGCUGUCCACAUAUAUGACACAAAGCUUCUGCUUCAUAAUCUUUCAAAGGAUGGUGAUGACUGAAAUGUUCAAUACGCCCCUCUCCAUCUUCAGAUUUCAUGGUGGAAAGCUGGUGGACGCACUCAGGAUCGAAAUUAACACGGCAUGUUUCACAGACAUAGGCGAAGCCAGAUCGGGCUUGGUAACAAGCAUUACAAGUAAAACUGGAAGAAAAAAUUUUGAGGGUAAGAAGACAUGGAUGAAAGAAAUGAUUGAUCUCUUGUACAAGCUCAGCACAAGAUGGAUGAAGAUAAAACUCGCACCGACUGCAAGAGUAGGCGUGACCCAAUAUGUGCCUAUUACAUCCCUUACAGAAAACUCCUUUGGGGACAUCUUCCUUCUCUAAAUGCUCCAAAUCGUGCCGGUGCAGGAAAUACUUGAAUCUUCUUUUUCCAUAAAACGACAUCUCUCUCUUACAACAGAGAAAAUAAUAAGUGAUUGUGUCUGCAAGCGUAUUCUUGCUCACAUCAAAUGCAUGGUUGAGAAAGGAAGAGGACAGUGAAAGAGAAAAUGAAAGAAAGUACAGGGCGAAGGAAGGUAUUUCAUGAUUGUUUGUCGCGUAUUGUUUGGAUUAGGUGAUAAUCGAUGGGAAAGUCCAAUAGCAUUUUUAAAAGCUGAGGUUCCAAUUCUGUCUUUGGCAUUAAACUACUCUUCAUUGGAUCUACACAAGUUUUUAUGACCAUUAAUUUCAAGAUAGCAUUUGAGAUUCUAUUCAAACUCACAACUCUUUUUUUUUUAAUUUUUAUAAAAUAAAUAAUUACAAUUGAUAUCUCGAUUAAGACUGACGGAAUAAAAUAGUAAAUUUAUUUGAUUAAUAAUUAAAUAGAAUAUCAAUUAUCUAUAAAUUCAAGUUUUUACACUUUUACUUUUUUAUGAAAAUAAAAAAAUUAAGAAUAAUUUAUUAAUUAAAUCUAAAAUAAUUAAUUUUUUUUAAAUUAAAUAAACUCAUAAUUUUUAAGAUUAAUUAUACGA